rnacentral:rRNA from 1 species
AGCGAACGCUGGCGGCAGGCCUAACACAUGCAAGUCGAACGAACCUUUCGGGGUUAGUGGCGGACGGGUGAGUAACACGUGGGAACGUGCCUAUAGGUUCGGAAUAACUCAGGGAAACUUGUGCUAAUACCGAAUGUGCCCUUCGGGGGAAAGAUUUAUCGGCUUUAGAGCGGCCCGCGUCUGAUUAGCUAGUUGGGUGAGGUAAGGGCUCACCAAGGCGACGUUCAGUAGCUGGUCUGAGAGGAGGGUCAGCAACAUUGGGGCUGGGACACGGCCCAAACUCCGACGGGAGGCAGUAGUGGGGAAUCGUGCGCAAUGGGCGAAAGCAUGAAGCAGUCCUGCCGCGUGAAUGAUGAUGGUCGGAGGAUAGUGAAAUUCUUUCACCGGGGACGAUAAUGACGGUACCCGGAGAAGAAGCCACGGCUAACUUCGUG